GGAGCUUGCUCCCGGAUGUUAGCGGCGGACGGGUGAGUAACACGUGGGUAACCUGCCUGUAAGACUGGGAUAACUCCGGGAAACCGGAGCUAAUACCGGAUAGUUCCUUGAACCGCAUGGUUCAAGGAUGAAAGACGGUUUCGGCUGUCACUUACAGAUGGACCCGCGGCGCAUUAGCUAGUUGGUGGGGUAAUGGCUCACCAAGGCGACGAUGCGUAGCCGACCUGAGAGGGUGAUCGGCCACACUGGGACUGAGACACGGCCCAGACUCCUACGGGAGGCAGCAGUAGGGAAUCUUCCGCAAUGGACGAAAGUCUGACGGAGCAACGCCGCGUGAGUGAUGAAGGUUUUCGGAUCGUAAAGCUCUGUUGUUAGGGAAGAACAAGUGCGAGAGUAACUGCUCGCACCUUGACGGUACCUAACCAGAAAGCCACGGCUAACUACGUGCCAGCAGCCGCGGUAAUACGUAGGUGGCAAGCGUUGUCCGGAAUUAUUGGGCGUAAA
rnacentral:rRNA from 1 species